rnacentral:rRNA from 1 species
GAUGAACGCUGGCGGCGUGCCUAAUACAUGCAAGUCGGGCGAACAGACGAGGAGCUUGCUCCUCUGACGUUAGCGGCGGACGGGUGAGUAACACGUGGAUAACCUACCUAUAAGACUGGGAUAACUUCGGGAAACCGGAGCUAAUACCGGAUAAUAUAUUGAACCGCAUGGUUCAAUAGUGAAAGACGGUUUUGCUGUCACUUAUAGAUGGAUCCGCGCCGCAUUAGCUAGUUGGUAAGGUAACGGCUUACCAAGGCAACGAUGCGUAGCCGACCUGAGAGGGUGAUCGGCCACACUGGAACUGAGACACGGUCCAGACUCCUACGGGAGGCAGCAGUAGGGAAUCUUCCGCAAUGGGCGAAAGCUUGACGGAGCAACGCCGCGUGAGUGAUGAAGGUCUUCGGAUCGUAAAACUCUGUUAUUAGGGAAGAACAAAUGUGUAAGUAACUAUGCACGUCUUGACGGUACCUAAUCAGAAAGCCACGGCUAACUACGUG